AAUCAACGCUGGCGGCGUGCCUCAGACAUGCAAGUCGAACGCGAAAGCUCCCUUCGGGGAGCAAGUAGAGUGGCGCACGGGUGAGUAACACGUAGGUAAUCUACCUUCGGAUGGGGAAUAACAACCGGAAACGGUUGCUAAUACCGCAUAAUGCAGCGGCACCUAAUGGUGACAGUUGUUAAAGCGGGGGAUCGCAAGACCUCGCGUCUGAAGAGGAGCCUGCGGCGGAUUAGCUAGUUGGCAGGGUAACGGCCUACCAAGGCGACGAUCCGUAGCCGGCCUGAGAGGGCGGUCGGCCACACUGACACUGACAUACGGGUCAGACUCCUACGGGAGGCAGCAGUCGGGAAUUUUGGGCAAUGGGCGAAAGCCUGACCCAGCAACGCCGCGUGAAGGAUGAAAUCCCUCGGGAUGUAAACUUCGCAAGAACGGGAAGAAUAAGUCUGCGUUAACACCGCAGGCGAUGACGGUACCGUUUGUAAGCUCCGGCUAACUCCGUGCCAGCAGCCG
rnacentral:rRNA from 1 species